ACAUCUGGUUAUUAAAUAAAUAACCUCGACAGAGUGAAUUCAUUCAAUUUUUAAUUAAAUACGAGCACAAGUUUUCUUUAGACAUAUUUAAAAUGUGAAUUAUUCAAUAUAAUAAAUUGUGCUCUAAACGUCUCCAUGGAGACAAGAUGAAGUUCAAUGUGGAGACUUAUCAUCUCUGGCUGAAUUCGCACAAAUGGAAAUCAUUCAGCACAGUAGUCCCGUCAAGUCAGACAAUUUAUAUUAAUGGAAAUCUAAACAAAUCAAAAUUAAAUUCGAAAGUUAAAGGAUUUGACAGUAAAAUCUGAAAUCAAAAUUUUACCUGGGACAAUGAAACCUUUCACUCUUUCGUGAGUGAGUGAUUACAAAAUUUGUCUGGAGCAUCAUGGCCAAAUGAAUUUAUUUUUCGUAUUUCGAUUGGGAAACUCCGUUCGGAAUGCUAACUACGUCGCGCCCGUUAAUGUUUUCAAAUUUUUCUUUAUUCUUAUUCUCCGUCAAAUAAAAUAUGUUGGUAAUGCGGUGCAAUUGGAGUGAUGUGAUCCUUAUGUAUUUAUUCAUAUGGCAAAAUAAUAAGGGACCAUCCAUAAAUUACGUAACGCAUGAGUGGGGAGUCUAAGAUUCCCACUGAUAUCAUGCCAUGCCUAUGUUAAUGUGGGGUUUUUGUAUUACGUAAUUUAUGGACAGCCAUUUGAUAGAAAUAUCCAAAAAUCUUAGUUUUUUUCAGUAGAUUUUAAUUUGGCAAGGGGCCAUACAUAAAGCGUGUGAUCUAUUUUCGGGAAAGUUUCACCCCUAUCCCUCUGGUCUGACCUAUAUGCCUUCUGUGAUAAUUAAUACGGCAAGGAUGUGAACCCUUAACCCCUUCCCCGCUCAAAUCGAUCACAUGCUUUCUGCACAGUCCCCAAAUGUGGCCAUUAUUUUUAUUCCAACGAGUUGUUUUAUUAACACAUACAUAUUUCUAAAACAUGACAUCUAGAAAAGUAAAAUCAAAUCCGCAAAAAUACUCUUUCUGAAUUUGAACCAUCUAUUCCACACGUUUUAUCCAGUACAAAAUUAAAAUUUUUAACCAUCAAUAAUUUUAAUCUAAAUUGAAAAGAAAAAGUUAAAGCAGAACUCGAUGAUUCAUCCCAAAAAUCAGCACAUUUUUCAUAAAUUAUCCGCUCUUGAAGUUUAUUUCAAAAUUCUGAAAGAUGAAUUUAUAGGACACGUGCAUGGUUCCCAUUUUUUUUAAAUAUACACACUCCAAAUUUUGACCAUUUUUGAAGAAGGGGUUCCCAAGAAGGAAGCAGCUUUCGGAAAAAUUAUAACUCAUCGAAACUAAAGGUCAUCGCCAUUCAACUACGUAAUGAACUUAUUGAUUGGGUGAUUGGCGAGUCGUUACGCUUAAUGUUUCAAAAAAAACAUCUAAUCGCUGUCCUCCUUUUCCUCCGAAGGGUCGCCCGCAAUCAGGUUAAACUUGGACAGUUUAGUAGUCGACGCAACGAAAUUGCGGACAAGUUCCUCCGAUUUGCUGGAAAACUUGACCGUGGAAGCCGUGAGGACAAUAAAAUGGUAGGAUUGGGAGGGAAGGGUUAAUACAUAUAACAUGGGAACAUGAAGCGGACAUUGUCCCUCUGUCCGUCCACACCAUUCCGCGGCCACUGGUCGAAACUCACGUACAUGAAGCUCGGGAAUUGAGACCUCGUCCAUCCCAUCCAUCGCGGCGAUAACUUGUUUAAAUGAGUCGGCCUCGUCCUCCGUCAAUUCGUGGUACGGAUGAAUCCCAUCGUGUGUCAGGAUUUGUAGCGUUUUAAGGCCUGUAAAUAAUAAUAAUUAAGCGAAAGCAGGUAAAUUA